CUCCUCUUCCUCCUCCUCUUUCCCCACCUCCUCCCCCUCAGCCACCGCCUCCUACUGCACUAACACCACUCCCUCCGGGGCACCCAGGUCCCUGCAGAGUCGUCGGCCCGCGCUGCCUUUGCUGCAGACCCCUGGAUCCUAAGCCUGCGGGGCGGGAACUGCUAGGACUGAAGCACCGACGGAUGCGCAGAUUUCUUCACGCCCUGAGCUCCGCUGCGACUGUCCUCUGCCGCCCCGCGUCCGGGUCACUGAGACGGUUUCGGGAGUCCGGCGAGGGUUGUCAGAACUUGAAUCACCAAGAGAGCCAACCGGGAGGCCAUAAAACGACCCCACGGAGAUCCUAGAGCUAAACUACUCCACACUCUUGCUCAGGAUGAGCUCCCAAGGGAGGCCUAGGGGACAGAACAUCCCACACUCUUGCCGGAAGUCGUCAUGCAGCAUGAUUCUUGCCAAGGAGAUGUCAGCUGGAGACUGAAAAGCUUUUAAAAGGGCACAGAUUAGAUUGCUGUAGCCAAUCCACAUCUCUUUUUCUCCCUUUCCUGGUCUAGAAUGGGAAUGUGAUGUCUGGAGCUUCAGCAGCCAUACCACACCACAAGUCCAAUUUGAGAUCGGCAGUCAUGGGCCCUGGGACAGGAGGGAAAGGGAGGGAGCCUGUAUCUCUUCUCCCAGACUGCUCUGUGGGGCUGCCCUACCAAACCUGGACUACCUGCCCCUAGAAUUCUUGUGGGCAAAUAAAUGAAUAACUAAA